UCAAUCAGAUUGCUCAAUGCCAAGACAAAGAGCUCUUUGAUCAUGGGCUAGAAAAAAGGGUUAAAGGAUGGUUUAGAACAAAUUCAAGAAAGAACGAUCCUGUUCCCACUUGGAGGAGGACAGAGGAGCUGAAACCGCUAGAGCUUGGAGCUUGGAGAGGAAAUUGAUGUUGGAUGGAGUAUUUCCUAUUGUCUGUUGUCUAGGAAUUCCUGCCAAAGCCCUAAAGCUGCUGCAGAAACAGCCUGGCAAUCCCACCACCUUCUAAGGAGAGCUAGCAGAGAUGGGCCCUAAUCCUGGGUUAUUUAGCAGCAGUUGGACAAUCUGAGCUACCCUAAUCCAGAUGACACAUUAUUUCUGAGAACUUCAUGCGGCUGUUUGGAUGUUACUUCACUCGUGCUGAAAUUAUCCCAUCUGAUUAGAGAUCUAUAUUAUGUCAUUUCCUCUAGGACAACUCGAUCCUUUUCAUCACAACUAGUUUCCUUGUGUUUGUUGUGCCCCAGGGUCUACAGAUCUCUGGGAUCCAGACAAAAAGACACUCAAAACGCUGUUGUCAACGAAGCCUCCUUUGAUUAAGGCACCAUGAGCACGUGUUACAACAGGGGAGCUUCCUCGGGCAAAACCAGCUAUCCAGCCAAGGAGUAAAGAACUCAGCCUUCCCCAGAGAGAAGUUUGGCCUCUGACCUUGUUUCCUGAGAGGGACACAUAGGGAGAAGAAUUACUUAGUCUGACUGAUCACCAAGAAAGAACCUGCAAAUCCUCCUGCCUUGUUGUGAAGUCCAUCAGUCUCAACCUCAGCCUGUGGCUGUUGGUCAUUAUGCCGCUGUCUUGCACCUUGGCUUGCAAUCAGCACCAUAGGGUGCUCAGUAUGGAUGAGGAACUGGGUUACUUAGGACAAGUCAGUCUCUUAUGACUUCUGUUUCUUUGGAGGACCCUGACUAAUACAGGAGUGUAGACUCCUAAGCAUCAUCUCAGGGUUAUUGUUGACAGUGAGCUGGAUCUAGCCUACUGAACUAGUAGAGUGAAAGAAAAAAGAAAAACAGAAUGUCUGGGGUAGAAACAACAUAUAGAAAGAAUGCUUUUCUAUUUCCCUUAACAUCCUUUGUCUAUUCCAGUCAUUCUGCUUGUGUGAAGAUGAUUUAUCAGGAAUAUAUUAUUCCCAAUAUGCUCCCAGUAGAUUGUUUUUUUCAUGUUCUGGAAAGGACGUAUUCUCUCUCUCUCUUUUUUAAAGAUUUUAUUUAUUUGAGAGAGAGUGUGUGUGCAAGCUGAGGGUAGGGGCAGAGGGAGAGGGACAAGCAAACUCC